UGUAUCUGAGGUCUGACGAGGAUGAGAACCUCCGGGGGCAAGAGGUUCGACUCGAGCGAAGCGAGAGAACGUUGCGUCAGCAACGGCCCGCAGGGUGAGCCACGCAGUGGCGAGUCAUCCUCUAUCACCGACCA
rnacentral:sRNA from 11 species